rnacentral:rRNA from 1 species
UGCAAGUCGAGCGCCGUAGCAAUACGGAGCGGCAGACGGGUGAGUAACGCGUGGGAACGUGCCCUUCGGUUCGGAAUAACUCAGGGAAACUUGAGCUAAUACCGGAUACGUCCGAAAGGAGAAAGAUUUAUCGCCGAAGGAUCGGCCCGCGUAAGAUUAGCUAGUUGGUGAGGUAACGGCUCACCAAGGCUCUGAUCUUUAGCUGGUCUGAGAGGACGAUCAGCCACACUGGGACUGAGACACGGCCCAGACUCCUACGGGAGGCAGCAGUGGGGAAUAUUGGACAAUGGGCGCAAGCCUGAUCCAGCCAUGCCGCGUGAGUGAUGAAGGCCUUAGGGUUGUAAAGCUCUUUUGGCAGGGACGAUAAUGACUGUACCUGCAGAAUAAGCCCCGGCCAACUUCGUGCCAGCAGCCGCGGUAAUACGAAGGGGGCUAGCGUUGCUCGGAAUCACUGGGCGUAAAGCGCACGUAGGCGGGUCGUUAAGUCGGGGGUGAAAUCCUGGAGCUCAACUCCAGAACUGCCUUCGAUACUGGCGAUCUUGGAGUCCGGGAGAGGUGGGUGGAACUGCGAGUGUAGAGGUGAAAUUCGUAGAUAUUCGCAAGAACACCAGUGGCGAANGCGGCUCACUGGCCCGGUACUGACGCUGANGUGCGAAAG